rnacentral:lncRNA from 13 species
AUGUGUGAGUUUGGGUGCCGUUUCCCCCUCUCUGGGUGGGGCCGUGCACACCUCUGUACAUGUGUGAGUGUCCGUGUGUACGUGUGUACUCUGUACGUGUGUGAGUGCGGUCUGUUUCCCCCUCUCUGGGUGGGGCCGUGCACGCCCCUGUACGUGUGUGAGUGCGGGUCUGUUUUCCUCUCUCUGGGUGGGGCCGUGCACGCCUCUGUAUUUGUGUGUGAGUGUCCGUGUGUACGUGUGUACUCUGUACGUGUGUGUACGUGUGUACUCUGUACGUGUGUGAGUGCGGGUCUGUUUCCUCUCUCUGGGGGGGGCCGUGCACGCCUCUGUACGUGUGUGUGUACUCUGUACCUUUGUGAGUGUCCGUGUGUACUCUGUAGGUGUGUGAGUGUAUGUGUGUACGUGUGUACUCUACGUGAGUGUACUUGUGUACAUGUAUACUCUGUACGUGUGUGAGUGUGGGUCUGUUGUCCCCUCUUUGGGUGGAGCCAUGCACGCCUCUGUACGUGUAUGAGUGUCCAUGUGUACUCUGUACAUAUGUGAGUGUACGUGUGUAUGUGUGUACUCUGUGUGAGUGUAUGUGUGUACUCUGUACGUGUGUGUGAGUGUCCGUGUGUACGUGUGUACUCGGUACAUGUGUGAGUGUGGGUCCGUGUCCCCUCUCUGGGUGGGGCCGUGCACGCCUCUGUAUGAGUGUGAGUGCGGGUGCCGUGUCCCCUCUCUGGGUGGGGCCGUGCACGCCUCUGUACGUGUGUGAGUGCGGGUGCCGUGUCCCCUCUCUGGGUGGGGCCGUGCACGCCUCUGUACGAGUGUGAGUG